rnacentral:misc_RNA from 1 species
AAUAUACUCAUCGUGACCAGCAAGAGUGAUCUUCUCUUUCUUGAAAACGGAGGUUUGGAAAUCAAGCGACGUUGUAGGAAUGAUGGAAGGAACGGAGACCAUAUUAACUGAAAGGGAUGGUCUUCCAUUUGACGGGGCAUUUUGUCUGGCGUAGACACGAGAAACAAGAGGUUUAAGCGUCGGAGACGAUGAGGAUAUAAAUCCAAGAGAGGAUCUCGAGGCAAUGUGCUUAAGGGAUGAUGACGGAGGAGAGAGUGACGGAGUAGAAAGUGCUGACCUCACGGCCGAAGAGGAGGCGGCGGCAGCGGCCAUUGUUGAGAGUUGGAGAGGAGUGUGUGCUGGAGAGGGUAGAAAGGCUAUGGCAACGUG